rnacentral:rRNA from 1 species
UACGUAGGUGGCAAGCGUUGUCCGGAUUUACUGGGCGUAAAGAGCGCGCAGGCGGUCAUUCAAGUCGCGUGUGAAAGCCCCCGGCUCAACUGGGGAGGGUCACGCGAUACUGAUCGACUCGAAGGCAGGAGAGGGAAGUGGAAUUCCCGGUGUAGUGGUGAAAUGCGUAGAUAUCUGGAGGAACACCGGUGGCGAAGGCGGCAUCCUGGACCGGCAUUGACGCUGAGGCGCGAAAGCCAGGGGAGCAAACGGG